rnacentral:tRNA from 3 species
GCGGAUGUGGCGAAAUUGGCAGACGCGCCAGACUUAGAAUCUGGUGCCGCAAGGCGUGUGGGUUCAAGUCCCUCCAUCCGCA